rnacentral:lncRNA from 1 species
AAAAUUCGACAGAGAGAAAAAUCCCAAAGACAGAAAAGGAAAAUUGUCAAAAAAUUAGGGAAAUGAAGAAAGGUAGCCAAAUUUGCCACCACCAGUUUCGGUUCUAUCCAGCCUCUUCUACCCAUAUUUUUCUCCCUAAAUCUCUCCAACACAAUCCCCUCAACCACUGAAUUCAAACCCCACUCAAACUUUUUAGAAUUUCGAUCAAACACAACUCUUCCACGACCAAGCAGUAAAAAUAAA